rnacentral:rRNA from 1 species
GACAGAGGCCUCAAGCGUUAGGCGGAAUCACUGGGCUUAAAGCGUGUGUAGGCGGAUCGUUAAGUACCUUGUGAAAUCCCACGGCUCACCCGUGGAACUGCUGGGUAUACUGGCGGUCUUGGGCCAACUAGGGGCAGCUGGAACAAGCGGUGGAGCGGUGAAAUGCGUAGAUAUCAGGAGGAACACCGGUGGUGUAGACGGCUUUCUGGACCGUAACUGACGCUGAGACACGAAAGCGUGGGUAGCAAACAGG